rnacentral:rRNA from 1 species
AGCAGCCGCGGUAAUUCCAGCUCCAAUAGCGUAUAUUAAAGUUGUUGCAGUUAAAAGCUCGUAGUUGAACCUCGGGGUUUACUUAUUGGUCAGGCUUAAUUGUCUGUACUGGUGAGAUGAAUCUCUACCUUCUGAGGAACUUUCAUGUCAUUUAUUGGUGUGAUGGGAAAUCAGGACUGUUACUUUGAAAAAUUGAGUGUUUAAAGCAGGCUAACGUCUGAAUACAUUAGCAUGGAAUAAUGAAAUAGGACGGACUGAUUCUAUUUCGUUGGUUUCUAGGAUCACCGUAAUGAUUAAGGGAUAGUGGGGGCAUUAGUAUUCAAUUGUCAGAGGUGAAAUUCUUGGAUUUAUGAAGACUAACUACUGCGAAAGCAUUUGCCAAGGAUGUUUUCAGUUAAUCAAGAACGAAAGUUAGGGAUACGAAGACGAUACAGAUACCGUCGUAGUCUUAACAUAAACUA